rnacentral:siRNA from 1 species
CACAUAAGCCUGGCUUAGGGU